AAAAAUUAAUGUGUUGCUUUUAAAAAUAUGUUGGUAAAACAAAAAUUUUCUCUACAUAGAAAAAACUUCAAAAACCACCAUAUGGUUUCACACUUUCUUAUUUUAGUACCAUGUGUUUUAAAGUGUAUCAAGUUAGUACCAUGUGGUUUUGCACUUUCUCAUUUUAGUAUUCUGUGAUUUAAAGUGUAUCAAGUUAGUACUUUGUGGUUUUAUUUUUAUAUCAAGUUAGUAUUCUGUAGUUUUAUUUUUGUAUCAAGUUGGUGCCUUAUGGUUUUAUUUUUUUCUUAAUAAAAUGUUAAACCAUAUGAUACUAAAGUGAGAAAAUACGAAACCACAAAGUACUAACUUGAUACAUUUUAAACCACAUGGUACUAAAGUGAGAAAACGUAAAAUCACAGGUACUAACUUGAUACAUUUUAAAUUACAGUAUAUUAAAAUAAAAAAAUGCGAAACUACAAUGAGAUAUUUGAAGUUUUUCCUAUAUAAUAAGUAUCCACACAUCAUCACAUGUAAAUAUCAUCACCAAUAAAUAUCAUCUGUUCAUUAAUUCA
rnacentral:lncRNA from 1 species